UGCUUCAAGGUAUGGCAGCUGUAGCCCUGGCCUGGGAGUUUCCAUAUGCCACAGGCGCAGCUGUAAAAACAAAAAUAAACUCUCUCAAUGUCACUUACAUCUCACAAGGUCUAGUAGAGACCUUGGUGGCCAAAACUACCACCACCCAGUGCCAGCAAGGGGUAAUUGCAGGUUCCAGUCGGGCUUGUGGUUGCAGUGGAGCUGAGCCAGCAGAGCUCAAGCUACAGUGGGAUGGGGGCAGGUGCCAUUCUGAGGGACUGCCAGUGGUUCAUGGCUGAGUCUGUCCCUCCAGGGAGGUUGGUCAGUUGUGACUGGACUGAGCUCCUGCCACACUGGGUGUUAAAUACUUUGAAUAUCACUCUGAGGUGACAGAACUGUCACGCUGGAGCAUCUCUCAGAGAGAUGCCAACAUGGUGUUUACCCUGACGCUCUUAUCAAGUACCUGGGUUACAAUCCAGCCCUUCAAAUGACCCGUAACUCAUGCCGAAAGGAAAAAAUGACUAGGGUGUGUGCAUGUGUGCGUGUGUCACAACCUCCUCCCUGAGUCCAUCUGCACUUGCUUGUGUGCAUGUGGGAGUUCUGCAUGUGUGUGCUCACAGGUGCGACACAGCAUUUUGGUGAGCCCCUGCCUCAGUCCAGCAAUCCCAAAUCCCUUGGUUUGUCAUAUUUCCCUAAAGGUAAGCCCAGGGUGUGCUCUUUGGCCUCAAAGAAGGUGGCAUUCAGUGGGCGGAGCCCCCAGUUUAGGUCGCCCAGGCAGCUCCAAGAAAAAUGCAGAGAACUUAGUAGCCUCAGGUCAGGGAUCCUGAGUGGGAGAAGAAUGCUACGUGUCUCUGGGGACACUAGAGACAGACACCCUAAAGGGGGGCCCAGAUUAGAUAGGAGUGCCUGCCCUGCCUCCACCCCAAAUGGCAGGCUCAAGUUACAGGAUACACAAGCACUCCCUAAUCUUACUGGGUCUGCCUGGCAGAUUAAUAAAAAUAAUGGCCACUACAUGGUCGUCUCUCUGCCCCGUGCUAAGCGAUCACGUUCAGCAUUUCACUUAAUUCUCACAAAAUCCCUUUGAGGUAGACACCAUUAUACCCAUUUAGCACAUGGAUGAGCUUGUACAUAGGUCUGGCCUGCAGGGGAAGUGAAAGGGACCCCGACCACAGAGGACUCCCCCCAACCUUUCUCCCACAGCUGCCAGGGGGCCUGGACCCAAGAUCAAGCUCAGGAGAAGUUCCUUGGGACAAGCACUUUCCUGCUUUCUCAUCCCAGUCACCUGGUUCAUCUCCAUGGGUCCUCAGCUCUGGACAGUGGGAAAACACAGGCUUCACGCCGGUAGCCCAGGAGUCCAAACUAGCAGGUCACUCUCCCUUCUGAACCUGUUCCCUCACCCAUAAAAGGAUUUUGUACCACCCACCUUGAAGGGCUGCUGUGGAGAUGAGAAAUAAGAACUCCGGAGGCUGGCACAAAACAGGUCUAUUAAAUGUUUGCUCUAUUUCCUACACAUACAGUGAACCCCCUCCCUAAAACACUGCUCUCAACAGCUGCUUCCCUCAACAGCUCCCCAAACCUCUAAGAUUUGGUUUAAAUAUUCCGUACAUUCCAACCCAUAUGCUUUUCUGGCCUCACAACCACAAUCCCCCUGCUGGAGAGGCAGGUCUCCCCGAUGCCCAGCAAACAGGCCAAAUCCAGCCACCCCAUCCCCCGACCCCCCCCUACACACACUCUUCCAGCCCAUCCAAAGUUCAUCCAUCUUUCCAGUUCUUCCAAGCUCAGCGCCCCCCCCCUACCCCGUCCCCACAAAGCCUGCAAGGCUCUCCCCAUUAUCCGGCCCGCCUCCAUCAGACCAGGAGAUCCCUGAGCGUUGGGCCAGGGGUCCCCUACACCCUCUGAGCCUAAAUUCCCAGGCCCGCCGUUCCGGACGCUACAAGAGCUCCGCCGCCCAGCCGACAGCGGCGGAGCAAGAUUCUGGACGUGAGCCAGAGACUCGUCGGAGGCCGGCCGGCCGGCUGGCCGGGCGGGGCGGGGAGAGCCAAGCCCAGGGCCGUGGAAAGAAGCUCCUUCUCCCCGCUCCACUCCGGGCGCCUUCACACUUGGGGGAGGGGGAGGCAGGAAGUGCAAGGGCCGCGCGAGACCCGGCCCCGGGGAGCCGCCGAGGGCCGGGCAGGCAGCGCAGAGGCGGUGGGCAGGGGCCGGGACGCAGAGGGGGACGGCGUAGACUUGCGACCCCGCGCCCUGCCCGCAGCGUCCCGGUCAGCUUGCUUUCCAGACGAGGCACACUGAGAGCGAGAAACCGACUCCAUCGCGUGUGAGCCGCGCUCCGUCCAGCCCCUCGGACGAGAGAUCGAGAGAGACAGACGCGCUCUGCUGCACCCGAGAAAGUUACUGGAAGAUAUGCCCACCAAAAUUAGGAGGGAAGCUGGGAACUAAACAACAGCAGCCCGACUGGACUCAGCAGCCAUCCUCCUGGUAAAACAUAGAGACUAAUGCCCAUGGCAUGCUCAUCUCUUGCUGCUAAUCGAACACACUCUCCCACCCUACAUCAAGGGCAGCCCUUCAGACCAACAGCACGAGCAAUGCCUGAGAGCUGGGGAGAAAGACUACAUCUCAGCCUGCCCUCAACCUGCUGCAUCAGAAUGUGCACUUUCACCAGCUCCCCAGGGGAUGGAUGGGCAUCUUAAACAUGGGUCUAGCCAGCCUCAAACAUUUCUCUUCCCACCAAAUAAGCUGCAGGCUUUCCGAGACCUACCUGGAUUUGUUCCCAAACCAGUUUAUACUGUUGCUUCUGCUGUUAUAUUAUGAAACGUAAUUAAAUAAAUAAGCCCAUGUCUGAGGACAAAGGGAGAGUUGUUUCUAUGAAAAUUAGGUUGGACGUGUUUAGGAAGACAUGAUAAAGGGGAGUGGCCUGGAAUUAAAGUUCAGUACUGCAGGCUUCUGGGAAGCGUCUGAUACUUGGAGCUAUUGCCAGCCAGCGUGCCCUGGGGGCCAAGCCUGGGGACAGCAAGUUCUCCCCCCCCCCCCCCCCCCGUUACCCUGAGUCAAGCCUGUACCGCCUGUACUACCCCUGCCCCUGGCAUUACAGCUAUUCCUUGUUUAAUCCAAGUGUUCUUUAUUCCUGAACUGAUACUGGCAUACUCACAUGAGUGAUGCUUUACAUGAAUUUCCUCAUUAACCCUCAAGCAACCCUAUGCGGGAAGUUAUUACUAUCCAAUUUACGGGCAAGCAAAAUGGAGAUUAGGUCACUUGUGUGAGGUCACACAGUAACUAGCAGAGCAGGACGUGAAAGGAGGUCUGCCCUCAAGUGCCAGGCUCCAACCAUAGCACUGUUCCUGGCAAGAGAUACCAAGCAUUUAGAAAAAACACAAAUGGUGCACAAACAUUUGAGAAAUG